AUUGAACGCUGGCGGCAGGCCUAACACAUGCAAGUCGAGCGGAGUGUCGGACGGGUGAGUAAUGCCUACGAAUCUGCCUGGUAGUGGGGGAUAACGUCCGGAAACGGGCGCUAAUACCGCAUACUAUCAGCUGAGCCUAGGUCGGAUUAGCUAGUGGGAGGGGUAAAGGCCUACCAAGGCGACGAUCCGUAACUGGUCCGAGAGGAUGAUCAGUCACAUUGGAACUGAGACACGGUCCAGACUCCUACGGGAGGCGUAAGUGGGAAAUAUUGGACAUGGGGGGAAAGCCUAAUCAGCACAUGCGGGGUAGGGGUAGCAGGCUUUCGGAUUGUAAAGCACGUUAAGUUGGGAGACGUUACCAACAUAGAAAGCACCGGCUAACUUCGUGCCAGCAGCCGCGGUAAUUC
rnacentral:rRNA from 1 species